rnacentral:rRNA from 1 species
ACGUAGGGGGCAAGCGUUAUCCGGAUUUACUGGGUGUAAAGGGAGCGUAGAUGGCAUGGCAAGUCAGAUGUGAAAACCCGUGGCUCAACCACGGGACUGCAUUUGAAACUGUCAAGCUGGAGUGCAGGAGAGGUAAGUGGAAUUCCUAGUGUAGCGGUGAAAUGCGUAGAUAUUAGGAGGAACACCAGUGGCGAAGGCGGCUUACUGGACUGUAACUGACAUUGAGGCUCGAAAGCGUGGGGAGCAAACAG